GACGAACGCUGGCGGCGUGCCUGACACAUGCAAGUCGGACGGUUCUUGUAUCUUCAAGCUUGCUUGCAGGUGCAAGGAUAGUGGCGGACGGGUGAGUAACGCGUGAACAUCUACCCAUUGGAGGGGGACAACCCGUCGAAAGGCGGGCUAAUACCGCGUAAGCCGCGAGGUGAGAGGCUGCCUAUUGGUGGCCGCCGAUGGAUGGGUUCGCGUCCUAUCAGCUGGUUGGUGGGGUAACGGCCUACCAAGGCGAAGACGGGUAGCCGGUCUGAGAGGAUGGCCGGCCACACUGGAACUGAGACACGGUCCAGACUCCUACGGGAGGCAGCAGUGGGGAAUAUUGGGCAAUGGGGGAGACCCUGACCCAGCGACGCCGCGUGAGGGAUGAAGGUUUUCGGAUCGUAAACCUCUGUUGUACGGGAAGAAGGAUGUGACGGUACCUCCGGAGGAAGCCACGGCUAACUACGUGCCAGCAGCCGCGGUAAGAUCACGUGUA
rnacentral:rRNA from 1 species